UACGUAGGUGGCAAGCGUUGUCCGGAAUUAUUGGGCGUAAAGCGCGCGCAGGCGGUCCUUUAAGUCUGAUGUGAAAGCCCACGGCUCAACCGUGGAGGGUCAUUGGAAACUGGGGGACUUGAGUGCAGGAGAGAAAAGUGGAAUUCCACGUGUAGCGGUGAAAUGCGUAGAGAUGUGGAGGAACACCAGUGGCGAAGGCGGCUCUCUGGCCUGUAACUGACGCUGAGGCGCGAAAGCGUGGGGAGCAAACAGG
rnacentral:rRNA from 1 species